rnacentral:lncRNA from 1 species
CUCCAAAGGUGAAGUUCGAGACCGCUUGCUUUCAUCCUCAUGUCGAUGCUUUCGGAAAUAUAUGUUUGGAUAUUCUUUAGGACAAAUGGUCAGCUGCGUAUGAUGUGAGAAGUAUACAAGCAGAUAAAUCGAUCAAUGGCCUUAUCUUAAUGACGCUUUAACCAAGUUUCAGGUACAAGAAGAAGAUGAAUACGCUUCACAGAUACAAGCUGUUUUCAUCAGAAGUUCAUGAUGCACAAGACCUUGGAAUAGCUAUAUCCCAGUUGAUUUCGUUUGAAGACUCGAGACUACAGAGAUUUCGUUUCAAUUACAAGAUUUGAUGCAAUAACCAUGUUAGAAAGAUUGAGGAUCCGAUUGACUCUGCUUUCUCAUGACAACCGGCAAGUAUGCAACCAUGGUUUUUGGUUAUUUUAGCUGAUGCAACUUUAGGUGC